GACAGAGGGUGCAAACGUUGUUCGGAAUUACUGGGCGUAAAGCGCGUGUAGGCGGCUGGGCAAGUCGGAUGUGAAAGCCCUGGGCUCAACCGAGGAAGUGCAUUCGAAACUGCCGAGCUGGAGUUCUGGAGAGGAAGGCGGAAUUCUCGGUGUAGAGGUGAAAUUCGUAGAUAUCGAGAGGAACACCGGUGGCGAAGGCGGCCUUCUGGACAGAAACUGACGCUGAGACGCGAAAGCGUGGGGAGCAAACAGG
rnacentral:rRNA from 1 species